rnacentral:rRNA from 1 species
GGUUAAGCGACUAAGCGUACACGGUGGAUGCCCUGGCAGUCAGAGGCGAUGAAGGGCGUGCUAAUCUGCGAUAAGCGCCGGUAAGGUGAUAUGAACCGUUAUAACCGGCGAUACCCGAAUGGGGAAACCCAGUGUGAYUCGUCACACUAUCAUUAACUGAAUCCAUAGGUUAAUGAGGCGAACCGGGGGAACUGAAACAUCUAAGUACCCCGAGGAAAAGAAAUCAACCGAGAUUCCCCCAGUAGCGGCGAGCGAACGGGGAGGAGCCCAGAGCCUGAAUCAGCAUGUGUGUUAGUGGAAGCGUCUGGAAAGGCGCGCGAUACAGGGUGACAGCCCCGUACACAAAAGCGCAUGUGCUGUGAGCUCGAUGAGUAGGGCGGGACACGU